rnacentral:rRNA from 1 species
GAUGAACGCUGGCGGCGUGCCUAAUACAUGCAAGUCGAGCGAACGGACGAGAAGCUUGCUUCUCUGAUGUUAGCGGCGGACGGGUGAGUAACACGUGGAUAACCUACCUAUACGACUGGGAUAACUUCGGGAAACCAGAGCUACUACCGGAUAAUAUUUUGAACCGCAUUGUUCAAACGUGAAAGACGGUCUUUCUGUCACUUAUAGAUGGAUCCGCGCUGCAUUAGCUAGUUGGUAGGGUAACUGCUUACCAAGGCAACGAUGCAUAGCCGACCUGAGAGCGUGAUCGGACACCCGGGAUCUGAGACAGGGUCCAGACUCCUACGGGAGGCAGCAGUAGGGACUCUUACGCAAGGGGGGAGAGCCUGACGGAGCAACGCCGCGUGAGUGAUGAAGGUCUUAGGAUCGUAAAACUCUGUUAUUAGGGAAGAACAUAUGUGUAAGUAACUGUGCACAUAUUGACGGUACCUAAUCAGAAAGCCACGGCUAACUACGUG